ACAAGUACCGUGAGGGAAAGUUGCAAAGAACUUUGAAGAGAGAGUUCAAGAGUGCGUGAAACCACUGGAGUCGAAACGGAUAGAGUCGACGUAACGAGGCAACAUUCAACCGAUCCUUCGGGCCCGGUGCACUUGUUGUCUGUAUGCGCUGAGUGCGUUGAUUGUGCGCGUCGAACUGGCAUGUGUUGCCCACUUAUGUGGUGUCUUGCGUGCUGGGGAGGCGUGUCGCGACUAGCGUGAUUCGGUGUGCAAGUCGAUCACCUAUCCGACCCGUCUUGAAACACGGACCAAGGAGUCUUGCGUAUGCGCGAGUCAUUGGGUGGAAAACCUAAAGGCGCAAUGAAAGUAAAGACCGGCUUUCGAUCGGUUGAUAUGGGAUACGUGCAUUCGUGUGCGUCGCACCAUAGCCCCGUCUCGAUGGCUUGCCAUGGGGCGGAGGUAGAGCGUAUACGCAAGGACCCGAAAGAUGGUGAACUAUACGUGAGCAGGACGAAGCCGGAGGAAACUCCGGUGGAGGUCCGUAACGAUUCUGACGUGCAAAUCGAUCGUCUGACUGGCGUAUAGGGGCGAAAGACUAAUCGAACCAUCUAGUAGCUGGUUCCUUCCGA
rnacentral:rRNA from 1 species